UAAGCAGGACAACCAAAUACUCUCAACUGAGAGUAAUCAGCAGGUAACCCGGACCAGAUCUCAAAAGGAGUUUUACACUCAAUAGCUGUAGAUGGAGAUCGAUUUACCAAGAAAUAGGCUGUAUUAAUUGCUUCAGCCCAGAAAUCCUUUCCCAAACCUGAAUGUGAGAGCAUGCUUCGUGCUUUGUCACAAAGCGUUCUGCUCAUGCGUUCUGCAAUACCAUUCUGUUGUGGUGUCCCAGUACAAGUGCGGUGUCUCACUAUACCUUCGUCACUGCAGAAAGCAUCGAACUCACGAUUACAAAAUUCCAAUCCAUUAUCAGUUCUAAGAUGCUUGACCUUCUUUUCUGUCUGCUUCUCAAUCAUCGUCUUCCACUUAACAAAAGUUGGAAAUGCCUCGUCUUUUGUUUUCAGAAAAUACACCCAAACCAUCCGAGAGUAAUCAUCAAUCAAAGUCAUGAAAUACCUGGCACCAUCAGAUUUAUAUUCCCACAAAUCCUUGAGGUGCAGAAAGCCUACCUAAAGGUAUUGUUGAGUCAGAAUCAGAUUUUUAUCUGUGCAGAUUGUGGGGCAACCCAGAUGAGGACCAUGUUGUCCGACAGAAGUAUCUUGUAACAUUCACAGUCGGAUAUGAACAGAGAGAUAAUAUUGAUGCAGCCAUCAAGAAAUUCUCUGAAAAUUUCACUAUCUUAUUGUUCCACUACGAUGGCCGGACUAGUGAAUGGGAUGAAUUUGAGUGGUCAAAGCGGGCUAUACAUGUGAGUGCAAGGAAGCAAGCUAAAUGAUGGUAUGCUAAAUGGUUUUUGCUCCCCGACAUUGUGGCCGCAUAUGAGUAUAUAUUCAUCUGGGAUGAAGACUUAGGACUUGAGCAUUUUGAUGCGGAAGAGUAUAUUAAACUGGUAAAGAAACAUGGGCUGGAAAUCUCGCAGCCUGGUUUGGAGCCAGACAGAGGGUUGACAUGGCAAAUGACCAAAAGGAGAGAUGAUCGGGAAGUUCACAAGGAAACUGAGGAGCAACCAGGCUGGUGCCCUGACCCCCAUUUGCCACCAUGUGCUGCAUUUGUUGAAAUAAUGGCAACCGUGUUCUCUCGGGAUGCACGGCGAUGUGUAUGGCAUAUGAUUCAGAAUGACUUGAUUCAUGGUUGGGGACUUGAUUUUGCGCUGAGAAAAUGUGUGGAGCCGGCUCAUGAGAAAAUUGGAGUUGUAGAUGCUCAGUGGAUUGUUCAUGAAGUGAUUCCUUCACUCGGGAACGAGGUAGAGAAGGAUAAAGCACCAUGGGAAGGGGUGAGAGAACGGUGUAAGAAGGAAUGGAGAAUGUUUCGAAAACGACUGGCAGUUGCUGAUAAUUCAUAUUACACGGAAAAGGGAAUCAUUCCCCCCAACACAUCGAUUCCCUAUUUUUGAUUAUUAAGGUGAAGCCUAGACACACAUUUUUGAAGCUAAUUUGGUUUUGACCUCCGAGGAGCAAAUUAGGUAGUGUGAGAUGCAGUGUAUGUAGCUACGGAUAGAUGUAUAUUCUUCCAUAGUUAUAGGAUCAAUUCCAAGCAUGAUUUCAUU